AGUGAACGCUGGCGGUAGGCCUAACACAUGCAAGUCGAACGGCAGCACAGUAAGAGCUUGCUCUUACGGGUGGCGAGUGGCGGACGGGUGAGGAAUACAUCGGAAUCUACUUUUUCGUGGGGGAUAACGUAGGGAAACUUACGCUAAUACCGCAUACGACCUACGGGUGAAAGCAGGGGAUCUUCGGACCUUGCGCGAUUGAAUGAGCCGAUGUCGGGUUUGCUAGUUGGCGGGGUAAAGGUCCACGAAGGCGACGAUCCGUAGCUGGUCUGAGAGGAUGAUAAGCGAAACUGGAAUUGAGACACGCUUCAUACUCCUACGGGUGGCAGCAAUGGGGAAUAUUGGACAAUGGGCGAAAGCCUGAUCCAGCCAUACCGCGUGGGUGAAGAAGGCCUUCGGGUUGUAAAGACCUUUUGGUGGGAAAAAAAAGCAGCAGGUUAAUACCCCGCUGAUAUGACGGUACACAAAGAAUAAGCACCGGCUAACUUCGUG
rnacentral:rRNA from 1 species